UUCCGGUUGAUCCCGCCGGACCUGACUGCUAUCGGAUUGAUACUAAGCCAUGCGAGUCUUUGUAGCAAUACAAGGCAGACGGCUCAGUAACACGUAGUCAAUCUACCCUAUGGACGGGGAUAACCUCGGGAAACUGAGAAUAAUACCCGAUAGAUCAUUAUGCCUGGAAUGGUUUAUGGUCGAAAUGAUUUAUCGCCGUAGGAUGGGACUGCGGUCUAUCAGCUUGUUGGUGAGGUAAUGGCCCACCAAGGCUAUAACAGAUACGGGCUCUGAGAGGAGAAGCCCGGAGAUGGGUACUGAGACACGGACCCAGGCCCUACGGGGCGCAGCAGGCGAGAAAACUUUGCAAUGUGCGAAAGCACGACAAGGUUAAUCCGAGUGUUUUCUGCUAAAGAAAUCUUUUGUCAGUCCUAAAAACACUGAUGAAUAAGGGGUGGGCAAGUUCUGGUGUCAGCCGCCGCGGUAAAACCAGCACCUCAAGUGGUCAGGAGGAUUAUUGGGCCUAAGCAUCCGUAGCCGGCUGUGUAAGUUUUCGGUUAAAUCUAUACGCUCAACGUAUAGGCUGCCGGGAAUACUGCACAGCUAGGGAGUGGGAGAGGUAGACGGUACUCGGUAGGAAGGGGUAAAAUCCUUUGAUCUAUUGAUGACCACCUGUGGCGAAGGCGGUCUACUAGAACACGUCCGACGGUGAGGGAUGAAAGCUGGGGGAGCAAACCGGAUUAGAUACCCGGGUAGUCCCAGCAGUAAACAAUGCAAACUCAGUGAUGCACUGGCUUGUGGCCAGUGCAGUGCCGCAGGGAAGCCGUUAAGUUUGCCGCCUGGGAAGUACGUACGCAAGUAUGAAACUUAAAGGAAUUGGCGGGGGAGCACCACAAGGGUGAAGCCUGCGGUCAAUUGAGUCACGCCGGA
rnacentral:rRNA from 1 species